rnacentral:rRNA from 1 species
CCUACGGGAGGCAGCAGUGAGGAAUAUUGGUCAAUGGACGAGAGUCUGAACCAGCCAAGUAGCGUGAAGGAUGACUGCCCUAGGGGUUGUAAACUUCUUUUAUAUGGGAAUAAAAUGUUCCACGUGUGGGAUUUUGUAUGUAUCAUAUGAAUAAGGAUCGGCUAACUACGUGCCAGCAGCCGCGGUAAUACGGAGGAUCCGGGCGUUAUCCGGAUUUAGUGGGUUUAAAGGGAGCGUAGGUGGAUUGUUAAGUCAGUUGUGAAAGUUUGCGGCUCAACAGGAAAAUUGCAUUUGAAACUGGCAGUCUUGAUUACAGUAGAGGUGGGCGGAAUUCGUGGUGUAGCGGUGAAAUGCUUAGAUAUCACGAAGAACUCCGAUUGCGAAGGCAGCUUACUGGACUGCAACUGACACUGAGGCUCGAAAGUGUGGGUAUCAAACAGGAUUAGAUACCCUUGUAGUC